GCCUCGGGGCUGCGGGAUAACCAGACAACUAAAUGGAGUCUGAGCAGCUGUUCCAUAGAGGCUCCUAUAGAAACAGCUACAACAGUAUAACAAGUGCAAGUAGGGAUGAGGAACUUUUAGAUGGAGCAGGUGUUAUUAGGGACUUCCAAACUUCUGAAGACGACAAUUUGUUAGAUGGUGACACUACAGUUGGAACUCACUACACAAUGACAAACGGAGGCAGCAUUAACAGCUCCACACACCUGCUGGACUUCUGGAUGAACCGAUCCCAGGUGUGGGCACAUAGGAUGAUUUCCAUACUAUCGACUGGGUGCGAGAGAAAUGUAAGGACAGAGAAAGGCAUAGACGGAUCAACAGCAAAAAGAAAAUCAGCAUGGGAAAUGACAAAAAGCUUGCAUGAUGCGUGUCCAGAUUGGCUAGUUGUAACGCUAACGGGGCUGGCAUCGGGGGCACUGGCAGGAUUAAUCGACAUUGCUGCGGAUUGGAUGACGGACCUAAAGGAGAGCGUUUGCCUCAGUGCAUUGUGGUACAAUCAUGAACAGUGUUGUUGGGGGUCUAAUGAGACGACCUUUGAAGAGAGGGACAAGUGUCCACAGUGGAAAACAUGGGCAGAGUUAAUCAUAGGUCAAGCAGAGGGUCCUGGUUCUUACAUCAUUAACUACAUAAUGCAUAUCUUCUGGGCCUUGAGUUUUGCCUUUCUUGCAGUUUCCCUGGUGAAGGUAUUUGCUCCGUAUGCCUGUGGCUCUGGAAUCCCAGAGAUUAAAACUAUUCUGAGUGGAUUCAUCAUCAGAGGAUACUUGGGAAAAUGGACUUUAAUGAUUAAAGCUAUCACGUUAGUCCUGGCUGUAGCAUCAGGCUUGAGUUUAGGAAAAGAAGGUCCCCUGGUGCAUGUUGCCUGCUGCUGUGGAAAUAUCUUUUCCUACCUCCUUCCGAAGUAUAGCACAGAUGAAGCUAAGAAAAGUGAACUGCUGUCGGCAGCCUCAGCUUCGAGUGUCUCUGUGGCUUUUGGCGCACUCAUUGGAGGAGUCCUCUUCAGCCUGGAGGAGGUUAGCUAUUACUUUCCUCUCAAAACUUUAUGGAGAUCACUUUUUGCUGCUUUAGUGGCUGCGUUUGUGUUGAGAUCCAUCAAUCCAUUUGGAAACAGCCGUCUGGUCCUUUUUUUCGUGGAGUACCACACACCGUGGUACCCUUUUGAACUGUUUCCUUUUAUUCUCCUAGGGGUGUUUGGAGGGCUUUGGGGAGCCUUUUUCAUAAGGGCCAACAUUGCCUGGUGUCGUCGACGCAAGUCCACCAAGUUUGGAAAGAACCCUGUCGUUGAGGUCAUUUUCGUUGCGGCCACUACUGCCGUGAUAACUUUCCCUAACCCAUACACCCGGCUGAACACCAGUGAGCUGAUUAAAGAGCUCUUCACAGACUGUGGUCCCCUGGAGUUCUCUUCUCUUUGUGACUACAGAAACGACAUGAAUGCCAGUAAGAUCGUUGACGACAUUCCUGACCGGCCGGCCGGCAUCGGCGUGUAUUCCGCGAUAUGGCAGCUGUGCCUGCCGCUCAUAUGUAAGAUCAUAAUGACGGUGUUCACCUUUGGUAUCAAGGUGCCCUCGGGCUUGUUCAUCCCCAGCAUGGCCAUUGGCGCGACCGCGGGAAGGAUCGUGGGCAUCGCUGUGGAGCAGCUGGUCUACCACCACCACCACUGGUUCAUCUUCAAGGAGUGGUGCGAGGUUGGGGCGGACUGCAUCACUCCUGGCCUCUAUGCCAUGGUCGGGGCCGCCGCGUGUCGGGGUGGUGUGGCGAAGAUGACGGUCUCACUGGUGGUUAUUGUUUUUGAACUCACUGGAGGAUUGGAACACAUUGUUCCCCUCAUGGCUGCAGUGAUGACCACUAAAUGGGUUGGAGAUGCCUUCGGAAGGGAAGGCAUUUACGAAGCGCACAUCCGAUUAAAUGGAUACCCCUUCUUGGAUGCAAAAGAAGAGUUCACCCACACCACCCUGGCUGCUGAUGUCAUGAGACCGCGAAGGAAUGAUCCUCCCUUAGCCGUCCUGACGCAGGACAAUAUGACAGUGGAUGAUAUAGAAAACAUGAUUAAUGAAACCAGUUACAAUGGAUUUCCUGUCAUCCUGUCAAAAGAAUCUCCGAGAUUAGAGGGAUUUGCCCUCAGAAGAGACCUGACGAUUGCAAUAGAAAGUGCCGGAAAAAAGCAGGAAGGUGUCGUCGGCAGUUCCCGGGUGUGUUUUGCGCAGCACACGCCAUCUCUUCCAGCAGAGAGCCCCAGGCCCCUGAAGCUCCGAAGCAUCCUGGACAGGAGCCCAUUUACGGUGACCGACCACACCCCAAUGGAGAUCGUGGCGAAUAUCUUCCGGAAGCUGGGCCUGAGGCAGUGCCUGGUGACGCACGACGGGCGCCUCCUUGGCAUCACAAGAAAAAGAGAUGUGCUCCGUCACAUGGCCCAGACCGCAAACCAAGACCCGCCUCCCUCAUGUUCAACUGAGCCCAAGCCACGAGGAGAGAGAGGAGGCAGAAGAGGAGGUUCACCUGCUGAACAGCACGACGCUCUGACCUGAGGGAAGCGUCUACCUUUUUGCUCCUUAAAAAAAAAAAAGGAACGGAAACUUACAAGCC